rnacentral:rRNA from 1 species
UCCAUGAAGCUGGAUUCGCUAGUAAUCGCGCAUCAGCCACGGCGCGGUGAAUACGUUCCCGGGCCUUGUACACACCGCCCGUCAAGCCAUGGAAGCCGGGAGUGCCUGAAGUGCGUGACCGCAAGGAGCGUCCUAAGGCAAUACCGGUGACUGGGGCUAAGUCGUAACAAGGUACC